AAACUAGAUUAGUUUAACAUGUGAAAUGUCCGUAAAGUAUCAUCAUAUGAUUGGUUUUAGGGCACAUUUCCAAUAAUCUCCCACUUGCACUAGAGCCAAUCAGCUUGGUCAUCAGUGAUGAUACCUCUUCUGUAGUCAUUUCAUAAAUGGCUGAAUAGUAGGCCUCGACAAUGGAUAUCUAUAUGUUAUCCAUAGAAGCAACCUUGAGAAUAACGACGUCACCAUUAUACAUGAUUCUCAAUCAUGUGGUUCAGUCUCUCAUUUGAGUUCGGACCUUGAUGAGACCUUGAUUCCCAGGCUUGAGCUAUCGCCCCAUUAGUGUCAUAGUGUCAGUACACUAGAUACACUUUCAGGUUGGAACCGAAUAGAGAGUUCAUAAAUGAACUUUCCCAUCCAAACAACAUUGUUGUAAGCUUCUAUAUGG
rnacentral:lncRNA from 1 species